CACUCCUACGGGAGGCAGCAGUGGGGAAUAUUGGACAAUGGGCGCAAGCCUGAUCCAGCCAUGCCGCGUGAGUGAUGAAGGCCCUAGGGUUGUAAAGCUCUUUCACCGGUGAAGAUAAUGACGGUAACCGGAGAAGAAGCCCCGGCUAACUUCGUGCCAGCAGCCGCGGUAAUACGAAGGGGGCUAGCGUUGUUCGGAUUUACUGGGCGUAAAGCGCACGUAGGCGGACUAUUAAGUCAGGGGUGAAAUCCCGGGGCUCAACCCCGGAACUGCCUUUGAUACUGGUAGUCUUGAGUUCGAGAGAGGUGAGUGGAAUUCCGAGUGUAGAGGUGAAAUUCGUAGAUAUUCGGAGGAACACCAGUGGCGAAGGCGGCUCACUGGCUCGAUACUGACGCUGAGGUGCGAAAGCGUGGGGGGCAAACAGGAUUAGAUACCCUGGUAGUCCC
rnacentral:rRNA from 1 species